UACAGAGGUCCCGAGCGUUGUUCGGAUUCACUGGGCGUAAAGCGUGCGCAGGCGGCUUUGCAAGACAGAUGUGAAAUCCCCGGGCUUAACCUGGGAACUGCAUUUGUGACUGCAUGGCUGGAGUGCGGCAGAGGGGGAUGGAAUUCCGCGUGUAGCAGUGAAAUGCGUAGAUAUGCGGAGGAACACCGAUGGCGAAGGCAAUCCCCUGGGCCUGCACUGACGCUCAUGCACGAAAGCGUGGGGAGCAAACAGG
rnacentral:rRNA from 1 species